rnacentral:lncRNA from 1 species
GUGUUUUUGUGUUUUUAAGAUAAGGGUUUCACUGUUGUAAUCUAGGAAAAAAGCUGCUGUACAACAGUGAAGUCUUUUUUUUUUUUUUUGCAUGAGGAGGAGAAAAAAGCGACCUUACCCUUCCCUCUCCCAUAUGCUUCAACUUUCAUGUCUGUUUUGCCCUGUAUUUCAUUAACAUUAUGAUUAAUGAAAGCUCUCCUGAAUUUCAAAUACCUUGAAAAGUAGCCAGUGCCUGCUCUUCCGAGGCCACGUUGAAGAUAAAUAACAAUAAAAACAGGGUGAUCCAGGCUUUUGAAGUCUUUAAAGACAACCGUCACUGUGAUCUUUGUACCACUUUUGCAGAAAGGAGAACAUUUCACAUUUCUGGCGCUACUAAGGACAGCACAGCAACUGAAAGAAAGCGUGAAUUUCUGGGAGCAGCAUCAGGACACAGGACUCCUGCUGAGCUCACCAGCUCCUUGCUUCGCACAGCUGCCUUCUCAGCUGGGGGUUUCAAAUCAGCACUGUGAGGAAAGACAGAAAUGACCAUGGUGCAUUUGCCUCACUAUAAGAAAAAGCUCGCUUGCUUUUCAUAUUGGACAACGCUAUCCCAAAGGAAAAGAAAGAGCUUCUACAAGUAUGUAUACAAACUUUCAAAAGACUCAGAAAUGACUUUAAAGACAAACAAUAGUAGUUUGUACUAAUAUGGUUCUUCCUAGAGCCUAUUAUGCAGAGUGAAGUAAGUCAGAAAGAGAAAAACAAAUAUUGUGUAUUAACACAUACAUAUAGAAUCUAGAAAGAUGGUACAUACUGACGAACCUAUUUGCAGGGCAGCUAUGGAGACACAGAUGUACAGAACAGACUUUGGACACAGUGGGGAAAGGAGAGAGUGAGAUGAACAGAGAGAGUAGCAUUGAAACAUGUAUACUGUUGCUGCUACUGCUAAGUCGCUUCAGUCAAGUCUGACUCUGUGCAACCCCAUAGACGGUAGCCCACCAGGCUCCCCCGUCCCUGGGAUUCUCCAGGCAAGAACACUGGAGUGGGUUGCCAUUUCCUUCUCCAAUGCGUGAAAGUGAAAAGUGAAAGUGAAGUCGCUCAGUUGUGUCUGACCCUCAGGGACCCCGUGGACUGCAGCCUUCCAGGCUCCUCCAUCCAUGGGAUUUUUGUGUAAAAUAGAUAGCCAGUGGGAUUUUGCUGUAUGACACACAGAGCUCAAAUCUGGUGCUCUGUGACAAAUAGGGGGGGAGGAGGUUCAGUGGGGAGGGGACAUAUAUUGCCUAUGACUGAUUCAUGUUGAUAUAUUGCAGAAACCAACACAAUAUUAUAAAGCAAUUAUCCUCCAAUUAAAAAUAAAUAAAUUAAAAAAUAUUGUUCUUCCA